rnacentral:rRNA from 1 species
CGGAACAUGUCCUGUAGUGGGGGAUAGCCCGGCGAAAGCCGGAUUAAUACCGCAUACGAUCUGAGGAUGAAAGCGGGGGACCUUCGGGCCUCGCGCUAUAGGGUUGGCCGAUGGCUGAUUAGCUAGUUGGUGGGGUAAAGGCCUACCAAGGCGACGAUCAGUAGCUGGUCUGAGAGGACGACCAGCCACACUGGGACUGAGACACGGCCCAGACUCCUACGGGAGGCAGCAGUGGGGAAUUUUGGACAAUGGGCGAAAGCCUGAUCCAGCAAUGCCGCGUGUGUGAAGAAGGCCUUCGGGUUGUAAAGCACUUUUGUCCGGAAAGAAAUCCUUGGUUCUAAUAUAGCCGGGGGAUGACGGUACCGGAAGAAUAAGCACCGGCUAACUACGUGCCNGCAGCCGCGGUAAUACGUAGGGUGCAAGCGUUAAUCGGAAUUACUGGGCGUAAAGCGUGCGCAGGCGGUUUGCUAAGACCGAUGUGAAAUCCCCGGGCUCAACCUG